UACGUAGGGUGCAAGCGUUGUCCGGAAUUAUUGGGCGUAAAGAGCUCGUAGGCGGUUCGUCGCGUCGGCUGUGAAAACCCGGAGCUCAACUCCGGGCCUGCAGUCGAUACGGGCGGACUUGAGUGUUGCAGGGGAGACUGGAAUUCCUGGUGUAGCGGUGAAAUGCGCAGAUAUCAGGAGGAACACCGGUGGCGAAGGCGGGUCUCUGGGCAACUACUGACGCUGAGGAGCGAAAGCGUGGGUAGCAAACGGG
rnacentral:rRNA from 1 species